CGUUUUCUUAGUUCAGAGGUCACAUUUAGAAGGAAUUAUCGGUUUCUGUAUCCUGCAUUACAUAAGGGCAAGGAAGACUGUAGGAGGCUAAUUUGUUCAGUUGCCACAGAACCCUUGCCUAAGCAAAUUGAAGAAUCUAAAAUGGAUAUACCAAAAGAAAUCUUUUUGAAGGAUUACAAGUUGCCGGAUUACUACUUUGAUACGGUGGAUUUAAAAUUUUCACUGGGUGAGGAGAAGACAAUUGUUAGUUCAAAAAUAACUGUUUUCCCCAGGGUUGAAGGUUCUUCUCCCCCCCUGGUUUUGGAUGGUCAUGAUCUAAAGUUAAUUUCAGUUAAGGUCAAUAGUGAGGAACUAAAGGAUAAAGA
rnacentral:misc_RNA from 1 species